GGAGUUAGCCGGUGCUUCUUCUGUGAGUGAUGUCCUUCCUGCCGGCUAUUAACCCGCAGGCCUUCUUCCUCACUGAAAGUGCUUUACAACCCGAAGGCCUUCUUCACACACGCGGCAUGGCUGGAUCAGGGUUGCCCCCAUUGUCCAAUAUUCCCCACUGCUGCCUCCCGUAGGAGUCUGGGCCGUGUCUCAGUCCCAGUGUGGCUGAUCAUCCUCUCAGACCAGCUACGGAUCGUCGACUUGGUGAGCCGUUACCUCACCAACCAGCUAAUCCGACAUAGGCUCAUCCGAUAGCGCGAGGCCCGAAGGUCCCCCGCUUUCCCCCGUAGGGCGUAUGCGGUAUUAGCCUGGGUUUCCCCAGGUUAUCCCCCACUACCGGGCAGAUUCCUAUGCAUUACUCACCCGUCCGCCGCUCGCCACCAGGGAGCAAGCUCCCCGUGCUGCCGCUCGACUUGCAUGUGUUAGGCCUGCCGCCAGCGUUCAAUCUGAGCCAUGAUCAAACUCUGA
rnacentral:rRNA from 1 species